AAAGGGGAAGAGCCCAGCGCUGAAUCCUCCGGUCCCCUGGGCCGGAAGAAAUGUAGCGUAUAGGUGUUGCUGUCCGGCACGGCCGUUCACCCAAAGUUCCCUUGACUGGGGCUACAGUCCAGAGAAGGUGCGAGACCUGUACGGGUGAUGGCUGUGACGGUUGGUGGCUCCUUGGAGUCGGGUUGCCUGAGAUCGCAGCCCAAAGAGGGUGGUAAACCUCAUCUAAGGCUAAAUAUGACCGUGAGUCCGAUAGCAAACAAGUACCGUGAGGGAAAGUUGCAAAGAACUUUGAAGAGAGAGUUCAAGAGGGCGUGAAACCGCUGGGAUUGAAACGGAGAGAGUUGACGAAACUCGGUAGUAUUCAGCUGCGCGUCGGUGUGCCGUUCGUGAUCGCAACCCUCUCGUAGGGAGCGUAGCGGGCGGUCGGAUCCGAUGUGCGUGCAUUUGCUGCCGGUGUGCGCCGAGACUCUUGAUGUGUUGCGCUGAACCGCAUCGUGUUGCCCACAUUAGUGGUGUCUUGCGUUACGGGUAGGUGUGGCGCGUUAAGAGUGGUUGCUGACGAUUCCCGCUAGCGCCGAUGCGUGGCGUUUUGGCGUGCUUUUGUGGCGGUCGCAUGCGACUUGUUGCUUGAGUGCGUUGGGACGUAGCGUUUUGGCGAGGAGUCGUUUCUCGGUGUAACCGUCGAUCACCUCUCCGACCCGUCUUGAAACACGGACCAAGAAGUCUAGCAUGUGCGCGAGUCAUUGGGUGGUAAACCUAAAGGCGUAAUGAAAGUGAAGGUCGCGUAAGCGACUGAUAUGGGAUCUGUGCGGUUCGCCGUGCAGCGCACCAUAGCCCCGUCCUGUCUGCUUGCAGUAGGGCGGAGGAAGAGCGUACACGCUGGGACCCGAAAGAUGGUGAACUAUGCCUGAGCAGGAUGAAGCCAGAGGAAACUCUGGUGGAGGUCCGAAGCGGUUCUGACGUGCAAAUCGAUCGUCUGACUUGGGUAUAGGGGCGAAAGACUAAUCGAACCAUCUAGUAGCUGGUUCCCUCCGAAGUUUCCCCCAGGAUAGCUGGAGCUCGUAAUGCAGUUAUAUUCGGUAAAGCGAAUGAUUAGAGGAAUUGGGGUCGAAACGACCUCAACCUAUUCUCAAACUUUCAAUGGGUAUGAAGCCGCCGUUGCUUGAUUGAACGACGGCAAAGAAUGUGAGCUCCAAGUGGGCCAUUUUUGGUAAGCAGAACUGGCGCUGUGGGAUGAACCAAACGUCGGGUUAAGGUGCCAAAGUUCCCGCUCAUGAGAUCCCAUAAAAGGCGUUGGUUGAUAUAGACAGCAGGACGGUGGCCAUGGAAGUCGGAAACCGCUAAGGAGUGUGUAACAACUCACCUGCCGAAUCAACUAGCCCUGAAAAUGGAUGGCGCUUGAGCGGGACACCUAUACCCGACCGUCGCUUGGCUUGUGCGUUCCUUGCAACUACGCCUGGCCGCGACGAGUAGGAGGGUCGCAGUGGUUUGCGUUGAAGGCUUUGGGCGUAGGCCCGGCUGGAGAUUCCACUGGUGCAG
rnacentral:rRNA from 1 species